UUACAAUGACUAAUAGUUAACUGGUCCUACAUUACAUUGUGAAAUGAGCACAAUACGUGAUUUGACUUGUAACUAUAUUGAUGUGUGUAUACUAAGUGUGGGUGAUACAAUUGAAGCCCCAGCUGCCAUAUCUUCUUUAUUGCUCUGGAGGAACGAAGGAACAUGUGUAGGAGUCUCCAUUAUCUUCCCAGCCCAGGCAGAUAAAUUUCCAUCUAAAAUUCACGUGCACACAUUCAAAACCAAAAGAUACAGCAUAAUGUAGGUAUUAGUUAGAAAGUUACUGCAUGAAUGCAAACACCUUUUGGGUGACUCAUCAGCACUCCAAUCUAUAGAAAAUAGUAGCUUGCACUAAGUUAAGAUUAACUGGCCUAUAUAUGUAGUAAGGAAUAAACUUAUGAGCCAUUGUGGCCAACUAAAUUUACAUCAGCUCCAUAGCAGUUUAGAGAUAUUACUCUCUCUAGCAAAUGGAACAAUUAACAGGACAUAAUCUUAAAACUUAUAUGGAUUUCACCAUUUGAACUACAUAUAUUAUCUCUGUCUUGCAAGUAGAAGGGAUUGAUAGAUACCUGUUGAUAGAAGGUAGAUCUCUGAGAUGGAGAUAAGGCAAAAAAAACUGUUG
rnacentral:lncRNA from 1 species